UGUCUUUCUUUUCUGGCAAGUCAAAAGAUAUUUGAAAUUUAAAAAUUUGCCUUCUCAGUUGAGUCUGUAUCUGCAAAGCAACUGAGGAAUGCCAUGGAUUCAGCAGACUGUAACAAAAGUAUGU
rnacentral:lncRNA from 1 species